CCUACGGGGUGCUGCAGUGGGGAAUAUUGGACAAUGGGCGAAAGCCUGAUCCAGCCAUGCCGCGUGUGUGAAGAAGGCCUUCGGGUUGUAAAGCACUUUCAGUGGGGAAGAAAGCCUUGGGGCUAAUACCCUCGAGGAAGGACAUCACCCACAGAAGAAGCACCGGCUAACUCCGUGCCAGCAGCCGCGGUAAUACGGAGGGUGCGAGCGUUAAUCGGAAUUACUGGGCGUAAAGCGCGUGUAGGCGGUCUGAUAAGCCGGUUGUGAAAGCCCCGGGCUCAACCUGGGAACGGCAUCCGGAACUGUCAGGCUAGAGUGCAGGAGAGGAAGGUAGAAUUCCCGGUGUAGCGGUGAAAUGCGUAGAGAUCGGGAGGAAUACCAGUGGCGAAGGCGGCCUUCUGGACUGACACUGACGCUGAGGUGCGAAAGCGUGGGUAGCAAACAGGAUUAGAUGCCCCUGUAGUC
rnacentral:rRNA from 1 species